GAUGAACGCUGGCGGCGUGCCUAAUACAUGCGAGUCGAGCGAACGGACGAGAAGCUUGCUUCUCUGAUGUUAGCGGCGGACGGGUGAGUAACACGUGGAUAACCUACCUAUAAGACUGGGAUAACUUCGGGAAACCGGAGCUAAUACCGGAUAAUAUUUUGAACCGCAUGGUUCAAAAGUGAAAGACGGUCUUGCUGUCACUUAUAGAUGGAUCCGCGCUGCAUUAGCUAGUUGGUAAGGUAACGGCUUACCAAGGCAACGAUGCAUAGCCGACCUGAGAGGGUGAUCGGCCACACUGGAACUGAGACACGGUCCAGACUCCUACGGGAGGCAGCAGUAGGGAAUCUUCCGCAAUGGGCGAAAGCCUGACGGAGCAACGCCGCGUGAGUGAUGAAGGUCUUCGGAUCGUAAAACUCUGUUAUUAGGGAAGAACAUAUGUGUAAGUAACUGUGCACAUCUCGACGGUACCUAAUCAGAAAGCCACGGCUAACUACGUG
rnacentral:rRNA from 1 species